rnacentral:sRNA from 1 species
GGGCGAGGCCCGAUUAGCCGAUUUUCGCGAGAUUGAGCGCGGGAAGCGGCCCGCCCGGAAGCUUGCGCGUCCAGCAUGGCGUAACAGCGUUCUUCGGCCUCGGAAGCCGUUACGUUGGGCCAGGCGCCUGCCGCAUGCAGUGGCCGGGUCGGCCUGCUGCCCUGCU